rnacentral:rRNA from 1 species
AUCUACAGCCAUACCAUCAUUGAUGUGCCUGAUCUGAUGUGAUCUGAGAAGCUAAGCAGGGUCUGGGUAUGGUUAGUACUUGGAUUGGAGACUAUUAGUGAAGAGUUGAUCCUCCUUGCUG